UUGGAUUCUGCGGGAAAAGGGGGGGACCUUCGGGCCUUCUGUCAUCAGAUGAGUCUGCGUACCAUUAGCUAGUUGGUAGGGUAAUGGCCUACCAAGGCUACGAUGGUUAGCUGGUUUGAGAGAAUGAUCAGCCACACUGGAACUGAGACACGGUCCAGACUCCUACGGGAGGCAGCAGUGGGGAAUYYUGCYCAAUGGGCGAAAGCMUGACGCAGCAACGCCGCGUGAGUGAUGAAGGCUUUCGGGUCGUAAAGCUCUGUCGAGGGGAAAGAAGUGUAUUGUGGCUAAUAUCCGCGAUASUUGACGGUACCCCUAAAGGAAGCA
rnacentral:rRNA from 1 species